GAUGAACGCUGGCGGCGUGCCUAAUACAUGCAAGUCGAGCGAACAGACGAGGAGCUUGCUCCUCUGACGUUAGCGGCGGACGUGUGAGUAACACGUGGAUAACCUACCUAUAAGACUAGGAUAACUUCGUGAAACCGAUGCUAGUACCGUAUAAUAUAUUGAACCGCAUGGUUCAAUAGUUAAAGACGGUGUUGCUGUCACUUAUAGAUGUAUCCGCGCGGCAUUAGCUAGGUGGUAAGAUAACGGCUUACCAAGGCAACGAUGCGUAGCCGACCUGAGAGGGUGAUAGGCGACACUGGAAGUGAGCGACGGUACAGACUCCUACGGGAGGCAGAAGCAGGGACUCUUGCGAAAUGGGCGAAAGAUUGACGGAGCAACGCCGCGUGAGUGAUGAAGGUCCUCGGAUCGUAAAACUCUGUUAUUAGGGAAGAACAAAUGUGUAAGUAACUAUGCACGUCUUGACGGUACCUACACAGAAAGCAACGGCUAACUACGUG
rnacentral:rRNA from 1 species